GUGCUUGCUUCAGCAGCGCUUACACUAAAAUUGGAACGAUACAGAGACGAUCAGCAUGGCCCCUGUGCAGGGAUGACACGCAAGUAGGUGAAGUGUUCCAUAUUCCC